UGCCUAACCCUCGUGAGCGAAACUCCGAGGUAUGGCAGAAAAGACCGUCCAAGGCACUGAACCCCGUAUCAGCAAGCCUUGGACGGUCAUAGUUCCGAAAGGGAUUAUGUGUGGCGAAAGCCAC
rnacentral:sRNA from 12 species